UGGCUCUGGCAUCGAUGAAGAACGCAGCGAAAUGCGAUAAGUAAUGUGAAUUGCAGAAUUCAGUGAAUCAUCGAAUCUUUGAACGCAUAUUGCGCCCACCAGUAUUCUGGUGGGCAUGCCUGUUCGAGCGUCAUUUCAACCCUCCGGACUCGGGGCUCUAGGGCGCCGGGUCCGGGUGUUGGGGAUCGUCCGCCCCCCGCGGCGGCCGGCCCCGAAAUCUAGUGGCGGUCCCGCGGUGACCUCCUCUGCGCAGUAGCGAUACCUCGCAGCUGGAUAACCACGCGGCCACGCCGUAAAACACCCACAAGCUUACACAUGGUUGACCUCGAAUCAGGUAGGAAUACCCGCUGA
rnacentral:misc_RNA from 1 species